UUUGGUGCACUGGAGAAGCCGAUUGGUCUCGGUUGCGCCAGCUGGUGGAGAGAGCACACACACCUGGGUUGUGUUAGCUAAUCAGCCCAGGUGCUUAAAGGUGUGCUGCUCUCCAUAGUUUGGAGCUGAGACUGGGAGCUCACACCGAGAGUGCGUUUAUGAUUUUCGAUUUUAUUUUGGAGCUUUGUUCAAGAAAGAAAAAGUGAUCCUCCACUGGGAAGUUGGAGGAGCUGGUGCCAGCUGGACAGCAGGCCAGCUAUGGGCUUUGCACUGGAAAGUGGUUGCGCCAUUUUACUUUCUUUUGUAUUUGUUAUUUUAGCUGUAGUUUUAGUUUAUUGUUUUUACCUGGAACCCAUAAGGGGCAAAGACAAAACCAUGUCCAUGAUUCAGUAAGGUCAUGCCUCGUAUACAAAGAAGGUGACUCCAUGUUUCCUGGACUGUGGACAGCCCUGAAUAUCAUCAGUCUUCAGGUUGAACCCUGGUGCCUACAUGUCUUUGGAAUGUGGGAGGAAAUCGGGGUACCCAGAGGAAACCCACGCAAACACGGGGAGAACAUACAUGCAGAGAGGAUCCGGGCCACCGGGACUGAGACCCGGAACCUCCACACAAGGCAGCAGUGCCAGCCUUCGUGCCACCGUGCCGUCUCGCCACCCAGUGAGACACACAGGGGUUCCAGAAGGAUCAUGAGCACUCGGAGGUUAUCUGAGUUUGGUCGUGUCACAAGACCCUCCCCGCCCAUUCACAUUGCUGUGACAAAUACUGUAGUCCAGAAAACGCCCAAAAGAUGUGACAUGUCUCAGCAACUCAGGGAGCAGCACUGAAGACAGCAAAACAAACAAAAAAAGUGAUUCUUCUUUCAGCCCUAUGGUAACAUUUUGAACCACUCAAGCAGUGCGAUUCUUAAAUCAUACAAGGUAACCAGCAUGUCUGUGUCAUCCACCAAGUGUUAAUUGUUACUUGUGAUUUUUCCCUUUUCCACACAUGACCAAACAUGCACUUUAAAUGGGAGCUGUAGGACGUGUUGAAUGAGAUCAGACUGGCCCAUGAUCACUAAUAUGCAAUAAAUAACUAUAGAGCAAACUUAAGCAGAACAUAGUGGAUGGAAGUUAAAUGAAAGGGAGCUCAACACGCAAUGCUCAGCACACGGAUGUAAUUUAUUUUGUUGCUUGCCACUUUCCACAGAGGACGAUAGCACAAGCCGGCAGACAACCUGUGUGAACUGACAAUGUGAGCAGUACAUCGGGGCAAUGGGCACAAAGCAGCGGGCAGCAGCUGGUUCAACAUAUUGAAAUGCUGCUCAGUGUGUCCACAACAGGUGCUGACUGCCCUGUUCCUCAUUAAAAAACACUUUACUGCA